UACGUAGGGUCCGAGCGUUGUCCGGAUUUAUUGGGCGUAAAGAGCUCGUAGGCGGCUUGUCGCGUCGACUGUGAAAACCCGAGGCUCAACUUCGGGCUUGCAGUCGAUACGGGCAGGCUAGAGUUCGGUAGGGGAGACUGGAAUUCCUGGUGUAGCGGUGAAAUGCGCAGAUAUCAGGAGGAACACCGGUGGCGAAGGCGGGUCUCUGGGCCGUAACUGACGCUGAGGAGCGAAAGCAUGGGGAGCGAACAGG
rnacentral:rRNA from 1 species